UCGAAGUUCAAAUGACGUUGUCUGACAAAAAGAAACAAACCUUAACUUCAUAAUCUAAACCAACAGCCGUUUUAGAAAUAUAGAAAGGAGCCGUGCCAGCCUGCAAGCUUUGUACCCAUAUUAACCAUCCUAGCCGUCAACGCUUCGGGUCCAAUGUGGUCAGAAUGUCUUCCGUAGAUGUAUGUCAAUUUGCACACAGUAUAUCAACGG
rnacentral:lncRNA from 1 species